rnacentral:rRNA from 1 species
UACGUAGGGGGCAAGCGUUGUCCGGAUUUAUUGGGCGUAAAGAGCGUGUAGGCGGCCAUACAGGUCAGCUGUGAAAACUCGAGGCUCAACCUCGAGACGUCGGUUGAAACCGUAUGGCUAGAGUCCGGAAGAGGAGAGUGGAAUUCCCGGUGUAGCGGUGAAAUGCGCAGAUAUCUGGGGGAAGGCCGGCGGCGAAGGCGUCUUUCUGGCUGGUUCCUGACACUGAGGCACGAAAGCGUGGGGAGCAAACAGGG